CCAAACCCACCCAAGGCUGCCUCCUGGACCUGCCAAGCGGAGAAGGGACCUCUGCGGCAUGUAUUUCAAGGACCACAGGAUCUUCUCCUUCCCAGAGGCUAGCGAAGAUUAGAAGG